CCUACGGGCGGCAGCAGUGAGGAAUAUUGGUCAAUGGACGAGAGUCUGAACCAGCCAAGUAGCGUGAAGGAUGACUGCCCUAUGGGUUGUAAACUUCUUUUAUAUGGGAAUAAAACGUUCCACGUGUGGGAUUUUGUAUGUACCAUAUGAAUAAGGAUCGGCUAACUCCGUGCCAGCAGCCGCGGUAAUACGGAGGAUCCGAGCGUUAUCCGGAUUUAUUGGGUUUAACGGGAGCGUAGGUGGAUUGUUAAGUCAGUUGUGAAAGUUUGCGGCUCAACCGUAAAAUUGCAGUUGAAACUGGCAGUCUUGAGUACAGUGGAGGUGGGCGGAAUUCGUGGUGUAGCGGUGAAAUGCUUAGAUAUCACGAAGAACUCCGAUUGCGAAGGCAGUUCACUGGACUGCAACUGACACUGAGGCUCGAAAGUGUGGGUAUCAAACAGGAUUAGAUACCCUGGUAGUC
rnacentral:rRNA from 1 species